rnacentral:rRNA from 1 species
CCUACGGGCGGCAGCAGUGAGGAAUAUUGGUCAAUGGCCGAGAGGCUGAACCAGCCAAGUCGCGUGAGGGAAGACGGCCCUACGGGUUGUAAACCUCUUUUGUCGGGGAGCAAAGCGAGUCACGUGUGACUCAUUGAGAGUACCCGAAGAAAAAGCAUCGGCUAACUCCGUGCCAGCAGCCGCGGUAAUACGGAGGAUGCGAGCGUUAUCCGGAUUUAUUGGGUUUAAAGGGAGCGUAGAUGGGUUGUUAAGUCAGUUGUGAAAGUUUGCGGCUCAACCGUAAAAUUGCAAUUGAUACUGGCAGUCUUGAGUACAGUUGAGGUAGGCGGAAUUCGUGGUGUAGCGGUGAAAUGCUUAGAUAUUGCGCAGAACUCCGAUUGCGAAGGCAGCAUACCGGCGGCGAUCUGACGCUGAGGCACGAAAGCGUGGGUAUCGAACAGGAUUAGAUACCCGAGUAGUC